rnacentral:sRNA from 1 species
CAUCAUCUGCCAGGCUGAUUUGUGAGUC